AUACGUAGGGGGCGAGCGUUGUCCGGAAUGAUUGGGCGUAAAGGGCGCGUAGGCGGCCCGGUAAGUCUGGAGUGAAAGUCCUGUUUUUAAGAUGGGAAUUGCUUUGGAUACUGUCGGGCUUGAGUGCAGGAGAGGUAAGUGGAAUUCCCAGUGUAGCGGUGAAAUGCGUAGAGAUUGGGAGGAACACCAGUGGCGAAGGCGACUUACUGGACUGUAACUGACGCUGAGGCGCGAAAGUGUGGGGAGCAAACAGGAUUAGAUACCCUGGUAGUCCACACUGUAAACGAUGAAUGCUAGGUGUAGGGGGUAUCGACCCCUUCUGUGCCGCAGUCAACACAAUAAGCAUUCCGCCUGGGGAGUACGGCCGCAAGGUUGAAACUCUAAUGAAUUGACGGGG
rnacentral:rRNA from 1 species